UAAGGUGAUAUGAACCGUUAUAACCGGCGAUACCCGAAUGGGGAAACCCAGUGUGAUUCGUCACACUAUCAUUAACUGAAUCCAUAGGUUAAUGAGGCGAACCGGGGGAACUGAAACAUCUAAGUACCCCGAGGAAAAGAAAUCAACCGAGAUUCCCCCAGUAGCGGCGAGCGAACGGGGAGGAGCCCAGAGCCUGAAUCAGCAUGUGUGUUAGUGGAAGCGUCUGGAAAGGCGCGCGAUACAGGGUGACAGCCCCGUACACAAAAGCGCAUGUGCUGUGAGCUCGAUGAGUAGGGCGGGACACGUGGUAUCCUGUCUGAAUAUGGGGGGACCAUCCUCCAAGGCUAAAUACUCCUGACUGACCGAUAGUGAACCAGUACCGUGAGGGAAAGGCGAAAAGAACCCCGGCGAGGGGAGUGAAAAAGAACCUGAAACCGUGUACGUACAAGCAGUGGGAGCACAGGUUUACCUGUGUGACUGCGUACCUUUUGUAUAAUGGGUCAGCGACUUAUAUUCUGUAGCAAGGUUAACCGAAUAGGGGAGC
rnacentral:rRNA from 1 species